AAACACAAUGAUUCAAUCAACAAGGUUUAUGAAAAAAUUAAAUGAAAGAACUAUAUACAUACAAUAAAUAGAAAUCAAACAACAAUCCAAGAAAAAAUAACAUGAAAUAACUAUAUACAUACAAUAAAUAUAACAUGAAAUAACUAUAUACAUACAAUAAAUAAAAAUCAAACAACAAUCCAAGGUUUAUAAAAAAAUAACAUGAAAUAACUAUAUACAUACAAUAACUAAACAAAUAAAUAUCAAACAACAAUUUUUGCAAUAAAAAAAUAACUGUCAGUGCCAUAACCUGCAGAUGAAGCCCAAAAUUAAAAAAGAAAAUUGAGAGGAGGAGGCCUGCCAACAUAUAAAGUGCCAGUCAUUUGCAAAAAUUGAAAACAAAAAAAGUUAAAACAGCUUGAAAAAGGAAGGAGGCAUCCUUGACAACAUAUAAAGUGCCAGUCAUUUGCAAAGAUUGCCAAAAAAAAGUAAAAA